rnacentral:rRNA from 1 species
UAAGGAAUAUUGGUCAAUGGACGCAAGUCUGAACCAGCCAUGCCGCGUGAAGGAUGAAUGCCCUCUGGGUUGUAAACUUCUUUUAUCUGGGGAGAAAUGCCUGAUUUUUAUUGGGUUUGACGGUACCAGAGGAAUAAGCACCGGCUAACUCCGUGCCAGCAGCCGCGGUAAUACGGAGGGUGCAAGCGUUAUCCGGAUUCACUGGGUUUAAAGGGUGCGUAGGUGGGUUGGUAAGUCAGUGGUGAAAUCUCCGUGCUUAACAUGGAAACUGCCAUUGAUACUACUGGUCUUGAAUUUUCUGGAGGUAAGCGGAAUAUGUCAUGUAGCGGUGAAAUGCUUAGAUAUGACAUAGAACACCAAUUGCGAAGGCAGCUUACUACAGGGACAUUGACACUGAGGCACGAAAGCGUGGGGAUCAAAC